CUUUGUGUAAAUUAAUGGUAAAUUAUUUGAUUUUUAAUCAAUCUAUUAUUGGUUCGAAUCCAAUCGCAAAAA
rnacentral:tRNA from 1 species